GGCAUAUGAGGUUGGGUGGAGCUGAGUAGGGAGCCAUAUGAGGAUAGGUGGAGUCGGGUGGGGCUUGGUGGGGCAAUAUGAGAUUGGGUGGAGCUUAGCGGAGCUGGGUGGGGCAAUAUGAGGUUGGGUGGAGCCUGCAGAGCUGGGUGGGGCAAUAUGAGGUUGGGUGGAGCCUGCAGAGCUGGGUGGGGCAAUAUGAGGUUGGGUGGGGUAACGGAGGGUUGAACUGAGACGGGAGAUUCUGGACUUUCUACAGAUCGCAGUAUUUAGAGGGUUUUUGUCUCGAAAAGACACCAUAGCCUCCAUUUGAGAAAGAACUGCAGAAGAACUUGAACACAAUGUUGGAUGCCAAUCUGUUCAGACAGGCCUUAGGAUCUUCUCUUAGCCCUUGUUGGGUUUCUUUUCUUAGCUCUUUUUACCAUUGAUGUUUAUUUUCAGAGGAGUUUGCAUCUGCACUUUGGCAGCAGAACUGUGUCUACGCAACACACAGCAGCCGUUGCUUUGAAAACGUCCUGUUGCAAACCCAUCGGACUCUCAAAGUCGUAAACAUGUUUUGCAGCCGUUUUGCUUGAGUUUUGGCACUAAAUGAAUCUGAGUUUAGCAUCUGUGAAAAGAAUAGUUGUAAAUGUAAAUGACGACCCUCUGGGAAGACACGGGUUUCUCCAGGGCUCAAAGUCUUGCCAACCUUUCCCUAUCAGCUACCCAGGAUGCUUUGCACACUACUCUCCCUUUUCGACUGUGUCCCUUUGCUUCUUCAAUGAUAUGUUUAGAAACUAAAAGAAAAAAAAUUAUAUUUAAUGUGCAGGUGACUAGAGAUGAUCUGCUAUAGACCACCUUUACCAUUUGACAUCUGUCCACCGCUACCUCCCUUCUCGUAAAACAUAAAUGUAGGUAAAUGUACUGUAGUGUAAUGUUUGGCUUGUUUGAACAAACGAUUAUUUGAGCUUAAAUAAGGGUACACUAAUGUUUUACACUUUUUACACUUAGUGGCUUAUAUUUCAGUCAGUAGUAUUUGUAUUAAUAUAUGAACAACAUAGUGAAAAUUUCAUAUACAUGUGUUUGAUUAAAUACUAUGCAUAAUUACUGCAUAAAAUUUCCCUGGCAGUGUGCAAUAACAUUUGGUUUAAGGUGAUUUUUACACAAAAAAGGUGACAAACUGUUUCAUUUUCCAAAAUUUCAUGUUUAUGUCCUUUUUAAACAAUAAAGCAGCUAAAUCACAGCUGUGUUUGGAUAAAACCACUGCAUAUAGAGUAUGGAUUUAAAGGGCCAGUGUCACUUUUCCUCAUGUAAAUAUUGCUAACGGUACAUCUUAUAAGGUAAAACUCAUACUUUGGAAGUGGUUUUUACAGCGCAACGGUCCAGAGUUUUUCAGCUUCCCAUUUUUAGAACACACACAACAGACACAAAAGUGAGGCACGAUUGUGCCUUUUUUUUUUUUUUUUAAAGCUUUUUUUGCACUGAAGACAUAGAUACCAAACUGAAGUGCUCUAUAAAACGGGUCAUGGAUGAGCAAACACACAAGGUAUUGUGGGACAGCUGCGCGUUGUGGGUCGCCUUUGCUGGGUCCUUUCGGAAAGGUUGUGCAACGCUUGCCUGCCCUGAGCAAACUUAAAACACUGUUUCCCAUGAUGUGUAUGCAGGGUUUUCCGCACCUCUACACACUGGAGCCCAAGGGUUCUGCCUUAUCAAUCUCUAACAGAUUUUUUUUACUGUAGAUAAAAUAUUCUGAGAAAGCUUUGUGGAUGUGGAACAGCGGCAGGAGACGACAGUGACCCCGGCGUCAAGAAAACGACAAAUUCCUUUUGUUUGAGUCUUUAUUCAGAUGCUUGGUCCUGCCAUGAAAGAGUGCAGCGCACUGUAUGCUGCAAACCGUAUGUGACCAAAGUAUCCUAGUAGCUCAAGUGUGUCUUAGCGUUCAGAGAUGGAUGGUUUGAGUUCCGCAGCGUAGGCCUGGGUGUCCUCAGUGGUCUUGCUGCUCGGUGCCGUUCCAUAGAUGGACAAGUUGUUUCUCGUGUCACGUACAGGUACGCUGUAGGCUCCCCAGGUUUCUAAGCACACAUGGGAAAACGGUGUUAAAUCUACUCGGAGAGAGUGAAAUAUCGCCUGAGGGGUGUUUCUUGAACAUGCGCAUACCAACUUUGCCAGAGUUGAUUUAACUGCAGGUUUUACUUUAGGCUAAGUGUUAUGCAGAAAUUUAAUGUUUGUUAGAAAUAUAGUCCCAGUGAAAAAUAUGAGUACACCUGGGCAAUGUCAGAAUAUUGUAUAUUACAAUAAUAUGUAUGUAUAAAAACAUUGCUACUGUGGGACACAAUGGACAUAAGAGGAAAGAAAAGUAACCCACAAGUGUCCUACAUUUCUGGGAACUGCUGCAGAAGAGCUGGGGAGACAUGGCAGCUCAUUUCCUCAUCAAAACUGAAUUGCUAACCAAAUGCCAAAAGUGAGAAAAAAGUAGUUUCCAACAAGUGUACUCAGACAUUUUACUGGUACUCUAUAUAUAAUAUAAAAUAUUCUACAACUUUGGCUAAAACCAAAAGCUUUCAGCAGAGGUCAGCAUGUGGGGCGCAAGCCGUACCAUAUGGGUGUAAUACGUAGAGCGCGAGGUCAAACUUGAGGUUUCUCCAUGAAAACUGUCGUACCUUCAUCCCCCUCGUCUCCUACCUUUUUCUGUAAUGUAUUUCCUUUCUCUCGUUUGAGUGUGUUGUCUCAAGAAGGAAACUCAUUUUGCAUAUGAACAGGAUGUUGUGUUGCGCGACCACGGAAACCAGCCCAUCGAUACAAGACGCCUUUCGGUACGAAGUGCCAAAUUGCGCAUGUCCUGCAAGUGUCUUACGUUGGCGAUGAGGACGGACUUUGCUACUGGUCGGGCUUGAGCGAAAGACGAGUAUCACUUUGGAAAUUAGCUCAAUGCUUUUGUUU